rnacentral:rRNA from 1 species
UACGGGGGGGGCAAGCGUUGUUCGGAAUUACUGGGCGUAAAGGGCUCGUAGGUGGCCAACUAAGUCAGACGUGAAAUCCCUCGGCUUAACCGGGGAACUGCGUCUGAUACUGGAUGGCUUGAGUUUGGGAGAGGGACGCGGAAUUCCAGGUGUAGCGGUGAAAUGCGUAGAUAUCGGGAGGAACACCUAUGGCGAAAGCAGGUUACUGGCCCAAUACUGACGCUGAGCUGCGAAAGCUAGGGGAGCAAACAGG